rnacentral:rRNA from 1 species
AAUAGAUACCCGGGUAGUCCACGCCGUAAACGAUGAGUGCUAAGUGUUAGGGGGUUUCCGCCCCUUAGUGCUGCAGCUAACGCAUUAAGCACUCCGCCUGGGGAGUACGGUCGCAAGACUGAAACUCAAAGGAAUUGACGGGGGCCCGCACAAGCGGUGGAGCAUGUGGUUUAAUUCGAAGCAACGCGAAGAACCUUACCAGGUCUUGACAUCCCGUUGACCACUGUAGAGAUAUAGUUUCCCCUUCGGGGGCAACGGUGACAGGUGGCGCAUGGUUGUCGUCAGCUCGUGUCGUGAGAUGUUGGGUUAAGUCCCGCAACGAGCGCAACCCUUGAUCUUAGUUGCCAUCAUUUAGUUGGGCACUCUAAGGUGACUGCCGGUGACAAACCGGAGGAAGGUGGGGAUGACGUCAAAUCAUCAUGCCCCUUAUGACCUGGGCUACACACGUGCUACAAUGGAUGGUACAAAGGGCUGCAAGACCGCGAGGUCAAGCCAAUCCCAUAAAACCAUUCUCAGUUCGGAUUGUAGG